GAGGGGUCUUAGCCUCUACCCAGGGCUCUUUCAUGACCAGGAGGCUGAGGACCCUCAUGGGCGAC
rfam:Felis catus isolate Cinnamon breed Abyssinian chromosome B3, whole genome shotgun sequence.